GGGUCUGUGGCUCAGUGGUAGAGCACAUGCUUGGAGUGCAGAACAUUCCAGGUUCAGUCCCCGGCAUCUCCAGGAUCA
rnacentral:tRNA from 1 species